UGGACUAUAAUACUCUAGAUGCGUGUUCAGC
rnacentral:piRNA from 2 species